GACCGAGGUGCCGAGCGUUAGGCGGAAUCACUGGGCUUAAAGCGUGUGUAGGCGGAUCGUUACGUACCUUGUGAAAUCCCCCGGCUCAACCGGGGAACUGCUGGGUAUACUGGCGAUCUUGAGCAAUCUAGGGGCAGAUGGGACAAGUGGUGGAGCGGUGAAAUGCGUAGAUAUCACUUGGAACGCCAAAGGUGAAAACAGUCUGCUGGGGAUUUGCUGACGCUGAGACACGAAAGCCAGGGGAGCGAACGGG
rnacentral:rRNA from 1 species